rnacentral:rRNA from 1 species
CACGUAGGGCGCGAGCGUUGUCCGGAAUUAUUGGGCGUAAAGAGCUCGUAGGCGGUCUGUUGCGUCCGCUGUGAAAACUCGGGGCUUAACCCCGAGCCUGCAGUGGAUACGGGCAGACUAGAGGUAGGUAGGGGAGAAUGGAAUUCCCGGUGUAGCGGUGAAAUGCGCAGAUAUCGGGAGGAACACCGGUGGCGAAGGCAGCCCCCUGGGAUAACACUGACGCUCAUGCACGAAAGCGUGGGGAGCAAACAGG